rnacentral:lncRNA from 1 species
GGCCACGGAGACCUGGAUUUCUCCUCAUUUGGCUCACUCCUGGUCUCUUUCUCUGAAGAUGCUGGAGACUUUGUUGCAAGAAAGGAUGGCUUUAGGUCAUAUUGCUGAGGCCUGAUCUUAAAGAUCUAAUUGCUAUUGGAAGAGAAUCCUGUUUCCCAACUGGGCCUCCCCUCUGGAGAUGCAGCAAGGAAGACCGUCCAACUCUGCUCUGGGCACCCUGUUGAUGGAUGAGGUGUCAGGCCAGUCGUCAUGUGAGGACUGGUUUCCAAAUGGUCAUCAAAUACAGGCAUGUCAGAAUUCUGAGAAACAAAGUAAAUGGCUAUUUUUUUCUUCCUGAGGACUGGUUCACUGUUGUGUUGAGAACAGAUUCUGGAUGCCAUGGUGGAAGCAGGAAGACCAAUUUCAAAGAUAUUGGAAUAAUUCAGCCAUCCUCAAAGAGUUUAAUGAAUGUGGUACCACAAGCAAAAUGUACGUCCACAUUGAAAGGUAAGAUGAAUUACUUCAUCUAG